rnacentral:rRNA from 1 species
GACGAACGCUGGCGGCGUGCUUAACACAUGCAAGUCGAACGGUGAAGCAGGAGCUUGCUCUUGUGGAUCAGUGGCGAACGGGUGAGUAACACGUGAGCAAACUGCCCCUGACUCUGGGAUAAGCGCUGGAAACGGCGUCUAAUACUGGAUAUGUGAUGUGACCGCAUGGUCUGCAUCUGGAAAGAAUUUCGGUUGGGGAUGGGCUAGCGGCCUAUCAGCUUGUUGGUGAGGUAAUGGCUCACCAAGGCGUCGACGGGUGUCUGGUAUGAGAGGAGGAUCGGCCACACUGGGAAUGAGACACGGCCCCGGCUCCUACGGGAGGCAGAAGUGGGGAAUUUUGGGCAAUGGGGGCAAGCCUGAUCCAGCCAUGCCGCGUGAGUGAAGAAGGCCUUCGGGUUGUAAAGCUCUUUCGGUGGGAACGAAACGGGUAGUGUUAAUACCACUGCCUAUUGACGGUACCUACAGAAGAAGCACCGGCUAAC